UCCUGGCUCAGGACGAACGCUGGCGGCGUGCCUAACACAUGCAAGUCGAGCGAGGAGUGUCGGAUAGCUUGCUAUUUGAUAUUUCUAGCGGCGGACGGGUGAGUAACGCGUGAGCAACCUGCCUUUAUCAGGGGGAUAACGCAUCGAAAGAUGUGCUAAUACCGCGUAAGACCACAGCCUCACAUGGGGCAGGGGUCAAAGGAGGAAUCCGGAUAAAGAUGGGCUCGCGUCCGAUUAGCUAGUUGGUGAGAUAACAGCCCACCAAGGCGACGAUCGGUAGCCGACCUGAGAGGGUGAUCGGCCACAUUGGAACUGAGAGACGGUCCAGACUCCUACGGGAGGCAGCAGUGGGGAAUAUUGGGCAAUGGGCGAAAGCCUGACCCAGCAACGCCGCGUGAGGGAAGAAGGGUUUCGGCUCGUAAACCUCUGUCCUAUGGGACGAAGGAAGUGACGGUACCAUAGGAGGAAGCCCCGGCUAACUACGUGCCAGCAGCCGCGGUAAUACGUAGGGGGCGAGCGUUGUCCGGAAUGAUUGGGCGUAAAGGGCGCGUAGGCGGCCUGCUAAGUCUGAAGUGAAAGUCCUGCUUUCAAGGUGGGAAGUGCUUUGGAUACUGGUGGGCUGGAGUGCAGGAGAGGAAAGCGGAAUUACCGGUGUAGCGGUGAAAUGCGUAGAGAUCGGUAGGAACACCAGUGGCGAAGGCGGCUUUCUGGACUGAAACUGACGCUGAGGCGCGAAAGCGUGGGGAGCAAACAGGAUUAGAUACCCUGGUAGUCCACGCGGUAAACGAUGAAUGCUAGGUGUAGGAGGUAUCGACCCCUUCUGUGCCGCAGUAAACACAAUAAGCAUUCCGCCUGGGGAGUACGGCCGCAAGGUUGAAACUCAAAGGAAUUGACGGGGGCCCGCACAAGCAGCGGAGCAUGUGGUUUAAUUCGAAGCAACGCGAAGAACCUUACCAGGUCUUGACAUCCAGUAAAGCCUGCAGAGAUGCAGAGUCCCUUCGGGGGUACUGAGACAGGUGGUGCAUGGUUGUCGUCAGCUCGUGUCGUGAGAUGUUGGGUUAAGU
rnacentral:rRNA from 1 species